UCGGGGGCCUUCGCCGGGCGUCGAACAACCGACUCAGAACUAGUACGGACAAGGGGAAUCCGACUGUUUAAUUAAAAUAAAGCAUUGCGAUGGU
rnacentral:rRNA from 1 species